rnacentral:rRNA from 1 species
CGCUGGCGGCAUGCCUAACACAUGCAAGUCGAACGAGACCUUCGGGUCUAGUGGCGCACGGGUGCGUAACGCGUGGGAAUUUGCCUCGGGGUACGGAAUAACUCAGGGAAACUUGAGCUAAUACCGUAUGAUGUCUUCGGACCAAAGAUUUAUCGCCCUGAGAUAAGCCCGCGUAGGAUUAGCUAGUUGGUGAGGUAAGAGCUCACCAAGGCGACGAUCCUUAGCUGGUCUGAGAGGAUGAUCAGCCACACUGGGACUGAGACACGGCCCAGACUCCUACGGGAGGCAGCAGUGGGGAAUAUUGGACAAUGGGCGAAAGCCUGAUCCAGCAAUGCCGCGUGAGUGAUGAAGGCCUUCGGGUUGUAAAGCUCUUUUGCCCGGGACGAUAAUGACGGUACCGGGAGAAUAAGCCCCGGCUAACUCCGUG